AGAGUUUGAUCCUGGCUCAGGAUGAACGCUGGCGGCGUGCCUAACACAUGCAAGUCGAGCGAGGGUUUGCUCAGUAUUGAGUAUUCUAAAACUAGAAUGUUCAAUUCUGAGCAAAACCAAGCGGCGGACGGGUGAGUAACGCGUGGGUAACCUGCCCUAUACACAUGGAUAACAUACUGAAAAGUUUACUAAUACAUGAUAAUAUAUAUUUGCGGCAUCGCAGAUAUAUCAAAGUGUUAGCGGUAUAGGAUGGACCCGCGUCUGAUUAGCUAGUUGGUGAGAUAACUGCCCACCAAGGCGACGAUCAGUAGCCGACCUGAGAGGGUGAUCGGCCACAUUGGAACUGAGACACGGUCCAAACUCCUACGGAAGGCAGCAGUGGGGAAUAUUGCACAAUGGGCGGAAGCCUGAUGCAGCAACGCCGCGUGAACGAUGAAGGUCUUCGGAUCGUAAAGUUCUGUUGCAGGGGAAGAUAAUGACGGUACCCUGUGAGGAAGCCCCGGCUAACUACGUGCCAGCAGCCGCGGUAAUACGUAGGGGGCUAGCGUUAUCCGGAUUUACUGGGCGUAAAGGGUGCGUAGGUGGUCCUUCAAGUCGGUGGUUAAAGGCUACGGCUCAACCGUAGUAAGCCGCCGAAACUGGAGGACUUGAGUGCAGGAGAGGAAAGUGGAAUUCCCAGUGUAGCGGUGAAAUGCGUAGAUAUUGGGAGGAACACCAGUAGCGAAGGCGGCUUUCUGGACUGCAACUGACACUGAGGCACGAAAGCGUGGGUAGCAAACAGGAUUAGAUACCCUGGUAGUCCACGCUGUAAACGA
rnacentral:rRNA from 1 species